AUCUCAGUCCCUCUCGUUUUCUCCAAGGCAGGCCACCCUCCUGAGAAAUCAUCACCAUGACUAGCAGAAUGUCAGUUACGCGCUACAGCACCUCAGGAGGAGGUUUCGGUGGAUCCAUGGGUGGAGGAGGCUAUGGCGGCAUGGUGAAGCGCACAUACGCCGGAAGUGUCUAUGGUGGUGCAGGUGGCUCAGGGUCAAGAAUCUCCAUGGUCUCUGGUGGUGGUGCUGGUGGCUAUGGUUUUGGUCUUGGCGGUGGCGGUGGCGGUGGCGGCAGCAGCAGUUACAGCUACUCUGUAGGUGGUGGAGGAGGCUUUGGUGGAGCUGAUUCCCUGGACAUCUCAACCAAUGAGAAGGCCACCAUGCAGAACUUGAACGAUCGUCUGGCCAACUACCUGGAGAAGGUGCGCAGCCUUGAGAAGGCCAAUGCAGAGCUGGAGCUGAAGAUCCGCCAAUUCUUGGAGAGCAAAACCUCACCCACUGCCCGUGACUACUCUGCAUAUGAGGCCACCAUUGCUGACCUGCAGGGAAAGGUAUGCCACAUGACCUCUGAUUCUUAAAUGAAAUACCAUAAUAUCAGCAUUUGAGCUCACAAAACAGCUAUCAGAAGAAAAUGUCCCUCAUAAUACUUUAAAACUGUAAAAACUUGUGUGCUUGGGUUUUCAAUGUUGUUUAUUUCAUCACACAGAUCCAGGAUGCCACCCGUGUCAAUGGAGGCAUCUAUCUAGCUAUUGACAAUGCAAAACUGGCAGCAGACGACUUCCGAACCAAGUGAGUCUCAGGGUGAUAUACAGAAGAGCCAUCCACCAAAGAGAAAAUAAGUUACUGUUUAACACCUGAGUUGAGUUUAAAGUAAAAUAUCUGCUCUCCUCUAAGGUUUGAGAAUGAGCUUGCCAUGCGCCAGUCAGUGGAAGCAGACAUCGCCGGUCUGAAGAGAGUGCUGGAUGAGCUGACACUGGCCAGAUCAGAUCUGGAGAUGCAGAUCGAAGGCCUCAAGGAGGAGCUGAUCUUCCUCAGAAAGAACCACGAGGAGGUGAGUAUUACAUGUUUGGUAGAUCUGUCUGGAUUUGCUUUGAAGAAAUCAGCAAACAUCCUUAUUUCACAAAACUGCUCUUAAUUUACAGGAAAUGGCAGCCAUGAGGACCCAGAUGACUGGACAGAUCAACGUCGAGGUGGAUGCAAAACCACAGCCAGACCUGAACGCUAUUAUUGCUGAGAUCCGUGAGCAGUACGAGCAUUCAGCUGCAAAGAGCGGGAAAGAACUUGAAGCCUGGUUCCACUCGAAGGUAAAACCAAAAGCUGGGCUGUGGUGACUUCUCAUGCUGUACUUCAAAUCAUGUGGUUUUAUUUCACACUAAUGAUAUCUUUUUUUUCUACACCAGACGGAAGAGCUCACUAAGGAGGUGGCAGCCAGCACAGAAGGUAUUCAAACAUCCAAAACAGAAAUAACUGAGCUCCGUCGAACACUCCAAGGCUUGGAGAUCGAGCUGCAGUCACAGCUCAGCAUGGUAAUCUUCUUCUUCUUCGUCUUCUUCUUCUUCUUCUGCACUGUUACAUGCACUACCUCCACCACAAAGAAAAACUUGGAUGCACACCUUUGCAUCCAUUUUUUUUAGGAAACGGAUUCUUUAUCACUCUUCUUUUUAACUUUCUUUCCCCAGAAAGCGUCCCUGGAAGGCACAUUAGCUGACACACAGGCCCGAUAUUCCAUGCAGCUCUCAGGCCUCCAAAUGCAGGUGACCAGCCUAGAAGAACAGCUAUCUAACUUGCGCGUUGACAUUGAACGCCAGAGCCAAGAAUACAGUAUGCUGCUCGAUAUCAAGACACGGCUGGAGAUGGAGAUUGCAGAGUACAGACGCCUGUUGGACGGAGAGGGAAGGUAAUAUAUAUUUGCAAAGAACACUUCUGUCUUUUCAUCACCAAAUUAUGACUCUCUGUAAAACUGAAGCCCCUCACUAAUUUUUCAUGCACCCACUUUAAUCUCCCCCACCCCACCCCACCCCACAGUAUGGCUAGCGGGACCGGCAGCAGCGGUUCAAGGAGCACCAACACGAGGGUGGUUGUGGUCACAGAGGAGCUGAAGGAUGGCAGAGUGGUGUCCUCCUCCACCACCUCCACUUAAGCUGCCUCGCACAGCAAAACUUGAAGCAACUUCUGAGAGCCUUAAGCACAACAUCUGAACCUAAACGUUUUUUCACACACUUCUGUGAAUGCAAUAAAAGGCUGCAAGUUUGCUCCCUA